GGGGAGGUAAAGCCGGUGGCUCCGGCAGUCGCACUGUAAAUGCGGCCCUUCGGGGAGUGGAUCGAAACCACACCUCCCCACCA
rnacentral:tRNA from 1 species